AUGGCAAGCUCAUCUCCGCGGUUCACAUGGUGUGCCUGUCGUAAGCACAAGAUCCCAUCCAAGGACACCCACGAGCUGUGUCUGCACUGUCUGGGCAUUCAGCACGCUAAGGAAGCCGUGCUGGAAUAUGGAAAAUGCCCUCAUUGUGCCAAAAUGGACUGGAGCAGUUGCAUCAACCGCCUUACGAAGGUGCAGGAAGUGAUGCACCGCGAGAGUCAGCAACGGAAGCACGAAGCUGCUCAGGCUGGGGCGCAGCCUAAACCCGAGACCACGACUGCACCUGUCAGCGAAGCCAAACCUGUCCAGGAUGCAGUCUGUAGUACUCAGCCUGCACCUCACCCUGUGGCGGUCACCCCUGGCCCCACAUCGUCCACCAUGCCAGUGGUGUUCACUAUUUUGUCUCCACCCCCUGUCCCUGCUGAGUCCAAUGCAAACGUGGUUAAGGGACCCUUUCUGUCCCAUGUCGCCAUUCAGCAGUCUGCAGACUCCACUCCAUCUCUGAGCUACCAGAGUUCCCACCCACUAUCCACUAGUUCUCACAAGAGAAAGCGCCUAUCCAAGUGCCACUCUCGCUGUUCGAAGCACUCCAGUAGGAACUAUGGACAUCGGAGGAGGUGCUCUUCAUCCUCUUCCUCUUCGCCUUUCUGGAGUUCCUCAGACUCCUCCUGUCUGUCUGCUCUGAGGGAGAAGCAACGGCGCAGAGAAGCACGCCGAUUUCAAAAGCCGAAGGAGCUGCACGACCGUCUGCUGCAGGUGGUGGAGCAGAAGCUGGAGGCCCAGCAGCAGGCCAUGCAGAUACAGUGGGCCUUGAUGGAGAGGCGCCUAGAAGCUCUUGAGAAGAGAGAUUCAGAGACACCAGCCUGCAGGGCCGUUCAUGCCCCUCAACCAUCCACAUCCUCUCAGGGCGAGGAACAGAGAGACUGGUCUGGAUCCACCAGCGAUGCAGUGGUAACUGGCUCCAUUCCUCUGACAAUUAUCAAACAGGAAGAGGAGGCAUCCUCAGUUUUGUUGGCAUCAAAACCAGACGCAGCUCCUGAAGCAGAGAGAGAGGGUGAGUCUUCACAUCCUGAGGGUGCUGUUUCCAAGCAAGAUAUCCUCACCGCCAAAGAGCUUCAAAACCUCAUUGCUCGGGCAGCCAAAUACUUGGCCUUAACUUUCCCCAAAACAUCCCCUAACCUGCCAGAUCCAACAAUGGCGCCUGAAUUUGAGGAGUUGGUGCAAAGCACGUGGCCCAACCCAGCCAGCUCAAAACCAUUCCGGGACGUAUGCUCAGAGAUGUACACGCUGAAUGAAAGCCAGGCUCCAGCCUAUGAACGCAUGCCACAGGUCAAUGGUUUCAUGUCUGCCAUUUUCCAAGCGGUCAAGCCCACGGAAAACAAGGAACAGGGCGUGCUCGCUGACCGCUGGCGCCUUACUGAGAUGCUGACGGAGGGCACGUACCAGACUGCAGGCAUGCUUGCCAAAACUGCCAACUACCUGCGAUACUUGUCGGACUAUCAGCAGCGACUCUUGGUGGAGAUUACUGAAGACCACCCUGCCCAGCGUUUUGUGACUGUUCUCAACGAGCUGAAGCUCAUUGGUCAGUUUAGCCAUCAGCUCUCCUCUCACCAAGCUGAACUGUCUGGAAGGGCCAUGGCUGCAUCAGUGGCCAUCAGAAGACAGGUUUGGAUGGCCAAGACUAAUUACACAGAUUCACUGAAGGCAACAGUGGCCGACCUGCCCUUCGUUGUGAGCCAGAGCGUGGGUGUCAGCUCUGGUGGUUCGAGCUCCGGUGACAACCUGUGCAAACUGGAGCAGUAA
rnacentral:lncRNA from 1 species